UGACCUAACUGUUGGGUAGGGUAAAUUUACUGAUUCCCAACAACUUCUACUAAUGCUAUAACUUCUACUACUAUUACUGGGGGCUUCGUGGUGCAGUGGUUAGCAUACUCGGCUCACAACCGAGAGAGCCCGGGUUCGAUUCCCGCCGGAGUGGAAAAAUUUGGGCGUCUUUUCCGAUACCCUACGCCCCUGUCCACCCAGCAGUGAAUGGGUACCAGGUAUUAAUCGGGGGCUGUGUCCCGUCUCCUGGGAUCUGUUCCCUUCUCCUAUAAUUCCUUCCCCUCCUGUCUCUCUCCGGCAUAUGACCACAGAUGUUGCGCCGACUAAACGAAACAUUCCAGUACUACUAAUACUGCUACUACUUCAACUACUACAGCCACUCCCACAGGCACAUAGACGCUGUGGACCCGUCGGAGGGCAUGAUGAAGCUGCGAGAGACUGGCAUCUAUACCAACGACUUCCUGGAGUUUAUCGGCAGCGGACACUCCACCGUGCCCAAAGACACAUACGACCUGGUGGUCAUCUCGGGCGGUAUGGGCGAAGGUCAUAUCCCACUCAGUGGCCUCGACGACCUGGUGCGCGUCGCAAAGAACGGAGGCUUCGUGAUCAUCGUGAUGCGCCACGAGCACCUACAGACCGUGCCUUCCUACAAGGACAAGCUGGAGCCUUACAUGGACCAGCUGGAGUCGGACGGGAAGUGGAAGAAGGU